UACGUAGGGUGCAAGCGUUAAUCGGAAUUACUGGGCGUAAAGCGUGCGCAGGCGGUUUCGUAAGCCAGACGUGAAAGCCCCGGGCUCAACCUGGGAACUGCGUUUGGGACUGCGAGGCUAGAGUGCGGCAGAGGGAGGUGGAAUUCCACGUGUAGCAGUGAAAUGCGUAGAUAUGUGGAGGAACACCGAUGGCGAAGGCAGCCUCCUGGGCUAGCACUGACGCUCAUGCACGAAAGCGUGGGGAGCAAACAGGAUUAGAUACCCUGGUAGUCCACGCCCUAAACGAUGGCGACUAGUUGUUGGGGAUUUAACAUCCUUAGUGACGCAGCUAACGCGUGAAGUCGCCCGCCUGGGGAGUACGGUCGCAAGAUUA
rnacentral:rRNA from 1 species